GUUUUUUUAAUUAUUUAAGUUUUUUGUUAUUAAUUUUUGGUGGAAUAAUAUUAGGUUUUAUUAAUUUUGUUUGAAAUAGUUCUUUUAAUUAUAGUUUAUUUUACUGUGAGGGAUAUUGUUUAAAUUUUUAUAAGAAUAUUUUAUUUGUAGUACCUUUUGUAUCAGGGUUUAUUUAGUUAGUUUUAAUUAUUUGUAUUUCCCGAAUUAAUAAGAGUUACACUGGUAUUUAUUUUGCUGUUGAAUAAGUAUUUAUAAUUCUGGUGUGGAAGCGAAAUACUAUUCGCUUAUUAAUAUAUCUGGUUUCUUAAGAAUUAAAUUUAAUUUAGGAUCCAAUUUUUUAUAGUUAUAAUUUUUUAUUUUUAUAGGUUUGGUGUCUAAUACCUGAGGGGAUAAGCUUUUGGGUAUGUUUGUAUAAAGUUAGAGUUUUCUGGAUUUAUAUAGGAUUAGAAAUUUCUAUUAUUUGUGGUAUGUUAUUAUUAUUUUCUGGUGUUUUUAAUUUUUUUGCUUUUUCAUUUUUAUUAGGAUAAUUUCUAUAUUUUUAAAUGUUUUGUGAUUUUGAUAAAAUUAGUAUAUUGUUUUGUUUAUUGAUUUUUUAGGUUUAAGAUUAGUUUAAGGAAUUCGGCAAAUUAGGUUUUCACCUGUUUAAUAAAAACAUGUCUUUUUGAUUUUAAUUUAAGGUCGGGCCUGCCCAAUGAUUUUUAAAUGGCCGCAGUAUUUUGACUGUGCAAAGGUAGCAUAAUCAUUAGUUUCUUAAUUAGGAGCUGGAAUGAAAGGUUUGAUGAGAAAUAAGCUGUCUCUAUCUUAAUUUAUAGAAUUUUAUUUUUGAGUGAAAAAGCUUAAAUUUAGUAGAAAGACGAGAAGACCCUAUAGAGUUUUAUGGUUGAUAAGUUUGGUUGUUGAUUGGUUUAUUUUUGUUAGGUUUAUUAACUAUUUUGUUGGGGUGAUAUAAAAAUAUAUAAAACUUUUUAUUAUUAUUACGUUGAUUUGCGAUUAUUUGAUCCUUUUUUUGGAUUAUAAGAUUAAAUUACCUUAGGGAUAACAGCGUAAUUCUUUCUGAAAGUUCUUAUUGAUGAAGGAGAUUGCGACCUCGAUGUUGGAUUAAAUUUAACUGUAGGUGUAGUGGCUUAACAGUUGGGUCUGUUCGACCUUUAAAAUUUUACAUGAUCUGAGUUUAGACCGGCGUGAGCCAGGUUGGUUUCUAUCUUUUAUUUAUUGGCUUGUUUUAGUACGAAAGGACCAAGCAAGGGAAUUAUAUUUUUAUUUUUUGAAUUGUAU
rnacentral:rRNA from 1 species